rnacentral:rRNA from 1 species
GAUGAACGCUCGCGGCAGGCUUAAUACAUGCAAGUCGUGGGGCAGCAGGACUGUAGCACUACAGUUGCUGGCGACCGGCAAACGGGUGCGGCACACGUACGCAACUUACCCUGAACUGGGGGAUAGCCCGGGGAAACCCGGAUUAAUACUCCGUAAUAUAAUGGAGUGGCAUCACUUUAUUAUUAAAGCUCCGGCGGUUAGGGAUGGGCGUGCGGCUGAUUAGGCAGUUGGUUGAGGUAACGGCUCACCAAGCCUACGAUCAGUAACUGGUGUGAGAGCACGACCAGUGAGACGGGGACUGGGACACGAGCCCGACUCCUGCGAGAGGCAGCAGUAAGGAAGAAAGGGCAAGGGAGGCAACUCUGACACAGCCAGGCCGCGUGGAGGAUGAAGGCCCUCUGAGGUGUAAUCGUCUGUGAAAGGGGACGAAACCUGAGUAUUCUUACGCAGUUGACGGUACCCUAGGAAUAAGCACCGGCUAACUCCGUG